rnacentral:rRNA from 1 species
UACGUAGGGUGCGAGCGUUGUCCGGAAUUAUUGGGCGUAAAGAGCUCGUAGGCGGUUUGUCGCGUCUGUCGUGAAAGCCCACGGCUUAACCGUGGGUCUGCGGUGGGUACGGGCAGACUAGAGUGUGGUAGGGGGAGACUGGAAUUCCUGGUGUAGCGGUGAAAUGCGCAGAUAUCAGGAGGAACACCGAUGGCGAAGGCAGCUCUCUGGGACGGUACUGACGCUGAGGAGCGAAAGCUAGGGGAGCAAACGGG